rnacentral:rRNA from 1 species
UGGUGGAGCGAUUUGCCUGGUUAAUUCCGAUAACGAACGAGACUCUGGCCUAUUAAAUAGUUCGCCGAUUCCGAUCUGUCGGCGUUAACUUCUUAGAGGGACAAGUGGCUUUUAGCCACGCGAGAUUGAGCAAUAACA